rnacentral:rRNA from 1 species
AUUGAACGCUGGCGGCAGGCUUAACACAUGCAAGUCGAGCGGUAGCACAGGGGAGCUUGCUCCCUGGGUGACGAGCGGCGGACGGGUGAGUAAUGUCUGGGAAACUGCCUGAUGGAGGGGGAUAACUACUGGAAACGGUAGCUAAUACCGCAUAACGUCGCAAGACCAAAGAGGGGGACCUUCGGGCCUCUUGCCAUCAGAUGUGCCCAGAUGGGAUUAGCUAGUAGGUGGGGUAAUGGCUCACCUAGGCGACGAUCCCUAGCUGGUCUGAGAGGAUGACCAGCCAAACCGGAACUGAGACACGGUCCAGACUCCUACGGGAGGCAGCAGUGGGGAAUAUUGCACAAUGGGCGCAAGCCUGAUGCAGCCAUGCCGCGUGUGUGAAGAAGGCCUUCGGGUUGUAAAGCACUUUCAGCGAGGAGGAAGGUGGUGAGCUUAAUACGUUCAUCAAUUGACGUUACUCGCAGAAGAAGCACCGGCUAACUCCGU